AGAAGCAUGCCUAUGUAUGUCCUUUUUUUUUUCUUUUUUUUUUUUUUUGGAUUU
rnacentral:ribozyme from 1 species